AUUGAACGCUGGCGGCAGGCCUAACACAUGCAAGUCGAGCGGAGCGGCGGACGGGUGAGUAAUGCCUAGGAAUCUGCCUGGUAGUGGUGGAUAACGUCCGGAAACGGGCGCUAAUACCGCAUACUAUCAGAUGAGCCUAGGUCGGAUUAACUAGUUGGUGGGGUAAAGGCCUACCAAGGCGACGAUCCGUAACUGGUCUGAGAGGCUGACCAGUCACACAGGAACGGAGACACGGGCCAGACUCCUACUGGAGGCAGCAUUGGGGAAUAAUGGACAAUGGGCGAAAGCCUGAUACAGCCAUGCAGCGUGUGUGAAGGAGGUCUUCGGAUUGUAAAGAACUUUAAGUUGGGAGGCGUUACCAGCAGAAUAAGCACCGGCUAACUGCGUGCCAGCAGCCGCGGGAAUAC
rnacentral:rRNA from 1 species